CGAAACAUGGAAAAAAAAUAUUUAUUAUUUAAACCGAAGGUAUUUGGUCAUCUACAAGCCAACAUGGGAUGUGAAUUCACGAUUGAUGGAAGUGUACACACAAAAACCUUCAGAUAUAGUAAACUAAAAAUAGAUAUCUAUUGAGCGGAGCGAAUUCCCUGAUAUUGAAAUUAAUUCAUGUUGAGCAAUGACUGAAAGUAGCUAGGGUACACGUUCAAGUACACUGAUUAACACCAACAUUGGCCAAUGCUUUCACUCUAUUGCAAACAUACAGUCUGCACGCCGUUUCUUUCUCUUGUGCUUUUCAUGUCUCACUCUUUUUUUAAUGACAUUCUCAUUUAGUGAAGUAGUAUUUGGGAAUUUUCCUUUCCCCCAAAUCCGGUACAUUUCUAAUAACGGUGAAUAAAUAUUAUCACAAUUCAUUUUCAUAUGGUGAAACAUACAUUAGAUUUUUGCUGAAAAUUUCAAUGAAUCUGAAAAACUAUAGUACAAAAAAGGUUACAAAACAGAGAAACCAUAAAUUAGAAUACCUCAGGUUGUGGCACACAAAGGACACAGUAUAUACAAACAUAAAGCACUUGAGAAAAGAAUGAAGGGUUAACAGCACAGACAAAAGCAGCUUCGUAAUUUUACCAGUUGGGUUUGAGGCCAGAGAAUCUACGUUCUCAUCAAUACUUGUAUUAGUUUAAAGCCCAAUAUCUGAACCAGACCACAAUCAUUAGUAACAUCUUGAAUAUUCAACAGUGGCAGGUUCAAGCUGUAUUCAUUGAAAACAUAAAAUAUUUGAUAAAUUAAGGGAUUUAUUUGGAUUUAAUUUGUUUACCAAUGAUACUGAGAGAAAAAUAAAAUGUUCUACAGCUUGUUAAAAUGCUUAAAAUAUUCUAGUUAAUUUUUAUUUUAUACGUUUUAUUUCUUAUACGUUUUUUAUACGUCUUAUAUAUAUUUCUCAUAUAGCAAAUUAGCUUUAAUAUUUGAAAACAGUGCAAUAACAUACAAACAGUAUGCUCAAAAUGAUGGAAAGUAUGCCUAUUAACCUGAGCAAAAUAUCUUAAAGCUGUAACAGUAAGAUGUCACCCAGUUUUGUCAAAGGCAAUCGCUCUAGCUUUUGUUUUGAUUUGUCCAGGUAUCUUCAAAACCCAAAAGGUAUUUAAAAGAUCUAAGACAACAUUUUCUAAUUAUUAACAUUUUUCUAAGGUUAUUAUCUCUUAAUAGGGCAGUUUCCCUGGCAUAGAUUAAGCCUAGUCCAAGAUAAAAAAUUUAUCCCGAUGGAAAAUAUCCGUUGAGCUUGAAUUUUAGUCCAGGAAUAGGCUUAAUCUGUGACUGAGAAUCUAUUGGAGAAUGUGCUAUGUUCAUAACAUUUUUACAGAAAUACUGAAGUUUGGGUUUGCCUCGUGACCAUAUAGAAUGCUUUAUAAAUUUUGUUUCCACACCAGUAACUAGCGCAUGACCACCAGUACGUUGCGCUUGACCACCAGUACCUAGCACUUGACCACCACUGCCUAGCGCUUGACCACCACUGCCUAGCGCUUGACCACCACUGCCUAGCAGUGGAGAGCACUAGUACCUAGUAGUGUACCACAUAGCUAAAUGUUUUUACAUUCUACUUACUGCACAGCAUAUAUCCCAGGCCUCUUCAAAUCAAGUUCACCGAAACAGUUACAGCAGAAUCAUGUCAAGUGAAAUGCCAGUUAACACCAAUUGAACAUACAUUUUUGCUCAACUGAUAACAACUAUCACAAAAAUAAGGGAAAAGGAAUGAGAACUGGAACGAUGUAAACAGCAAACAUCACAUUUCCUACUGAAUUGGCAUUCUGAAGAAAAGAAAAAAAAAAAAAGACUUGUCGUCAUUGGAAAAAAUAUAAUCAUUCCAUAUAAGCUACAGACAUUUUGGCACCAAAGGGCCAUAUCAAGCCACUUUUAACAAGCACGGUCAUAAUCCUGACCACCACGCCAGACCUGGCCCCCUCAGAAAAAGAAAUGUAAAUUCUGUUAAUGAAAAAAUCCCCCACAAAAUCCUUUUGUACUUGCAGGUUCCAGACCUUCAGACACUGACCUGACCACAACAGCAAAAAAAAAGAAAAAUCACAGAAGAGAAUAAGCGUUUUACACAUUUGCACUUGCAGAGAUGAGGAGCAUGCUUUUGCAUCAUCCAGUCCUCGGGAUGGUGACGUGCACUAAAACUGAAGCGCGGCAAUCCUUUGUCUGUCAUCCUCCGAGCGGACAGGUGGACAAGCAGAGGGGAGCAGCCCCGUUCCAACGAAGUGCAGAAAAGAUCCAUGUAUUUGCCGAACAAGGCAAGUUGUGGGGUGGGACGGAGAGGACAGGACAACUAGUGAGCCUAGGCGGGCAAACGACAGACCAGAACGAAGGAGGAUGAUGAGAGGGGGAGAACAUGGCCUCCUUGGUCCAACACAGGAGCGGGAGGAUGAGGAAUGCAGUCACUGAAGGCAGGCAUGACCGGGAUGAGAAAACCUUGACUCGGGAGAAACCUGGGAGGACGACAAACAAG
ensembl:lncRNA